AUGAACGCUGGCGGCGUGCCUAAUCCCUGCAAGUCGAGCGAACGGACGAGAAGCUUGCUUCUCUGAUGUUAGCGGCGGACGGGUGAGUAACACGUGGAUAACCUACCUAUAAGACUGGGAUAACUUCGGGAAACCGGAUCUAAUACCGGAUGAUAUUUUGAACCGCAUGGUUCAAAAGUGAAAGACGGUCUUGCUGUCACUUAUAGAUGGAUCCGCGCUGCAUUAGCUAGUUGGUAAGGUAACGGCUUACCAAGGCAACGAUGCAUAGCCGACCUGAGAGGGUGAUCGGCCACACUGGAACUGAGACACGGUCCAGACUCCUACGGGAGGCAGCAGUAGGGAAUCUUCCGCAAUGGGCGAAAGCCUGACGGAGCAACGCCGCGUGAGUGAUGAAGGUCUUCGGAUCGUAAAACUCUGUUAUUAGGGAAGAACAUAUGUGUAAGUAACUGUGCACAUCUUGACGGUACCUAAUCAGAAAGCCACGGCUAACUACGUG
rnacentral:rRNA from 1 species